UGUGUAGUGCCUGAAUAAAGGACAAUUUUGAUAGAAUUGAUCAUGUACUAAUAAGUACCUUCACAU
rnacentral:tRNA from 1 species